rnacentral:rRNA from 1 species
UGAACGCUGGCGGCAUGCCUUACACAUGCAAGUCGAACGGUAACGCGGGGCAACCUGGCGACGAGUGGCGAACGGGUGAGUAAUAUAUCGGAACGUGCCCAGUAGUGGGGGAUAGCCCGGCGAAAGCCGGAUUAAUACCGCAUGAGACCUGAGGGUGAAAGCGGGGGAUCGCAAGACCUCGCGCUAUUGGAGCGGCCGAUAUCAGAUUAGCUAGUUGGUGGGGUAAAGGCCUACCAAGGCAACGAUCUGUAGUUGGUCUGAGAGGACGACCAGCCACACUGGGACUGAGACACGGCCCAGACUCCUACGGGAGGCAGCAGUGGGGAAUUUUGGACAAUGGGCGCAAGCCUGAUCCAGCAAUGCCGCGUGCAGGAAGAAGGCCUUCGGGUUGUAAACUGCUUUUGUCAGGGAAGAAAUCCUCUGGGUUAAUACCUCGGGGGGAUGACGGUACCUGAAGAAUAAGCACCGGCUAACUAC